rnacentral:miRNA from 1 species
UCAGAAUUCGGUUCCCGGGGAACCGAGUUCUGAACUUCAAUUUUUUUUUUAGCUCAGAAUUCGGUUCCUCGGGAACCGAAUUCUGA